rnacentral:rRNA from 1 species
CAUGCAAGUCGAACGCGAAAGUUCCCUUCGGGGAGCGAGUAGAGUGGCGCACGGGUGAGUAACACGUAGGUAAUCUACCUUUGGAUUGGGAAUAACAACCGGAAACGGUUGCUAAUACCGAAUAAUGCAGCGGCACCUAAUGGUGACAGUUGUUAAAGCGGGGGAUCGCAAGACCUCGCGUCUAAAGAGGAGCCUGCGGCGGAUUAGCUAGUUGGUAAGGUAAUGGCUUACCAAGGCUAUGAUCCGUAGCCGGCCUGAGAGGGCGGUCGGCCACACUGACACUGACAUACGGGUCAGACUCCUACGGGAGGCAGCAGUCGGGAAUUUUGGGCAAUGGGCGAAAGCCUGACCCAGCAACGCCGCGUGAAGGAUGAAAUCCUUCGGGAUGUAAACUUCGCAAGAACGGGAAGAAUAAGUAAGAGCUAACAUCUCUUAUGAUGACGGUACUGUUUGUAAGCUCCGGCUAACUCCGUGCCAGCAGCCGCGGUAAUACGGGGGGAGCAAGCGUUGUUCGGAUUUACUGGGCGUAAAGGGCGCGUAGGCGGCCACCGCAAGUCGAUUGUGAAAUCUCCGGGCUUAACCCGGAAAGGUCAACCGAUACUGCGGGGCUAGAGUGCAGAAGGGGCAACUGGAAUUCUCGGUGUAGCGGUGAAAUGCGUANAUAUCGAGAGGAACACCUGCGGCGAAGGCGGGUUGCUGGGCUGACACUGACGCUGAAGUGCGAAAGCUAGGGGAGCGAACGGGAUUAGAUACCCCGGUAGUCCUAGCCUUAAACGAUGAAUGCUUGGUGUCU